rnacentral:lncRNA from 1 species
UAGCAUCUCGCGCUGUCCAAGCCUCUCCUGCGCUGCCGAGGCAGAGCCAUGAUGCCAGAGUCCCAGAUGUCCAGCCUUCCGCAGACUGGACGUGUCUCGGCCCGAAAAUUCAACACAUCCUGAAUCAAGCUCAUGAGUUCCUUCCUGUGACCUGCACCCAAGGACAUGCAUUCUCCCAAGCCCCUCCUGCAAUUGCCUCCCUCCUGUCCUUUUCCCUUUGUAACUCUCAUGCAUAUAGCCCUGGGUUUUCCCGCCUUUCCUGUGUCCCCAGGGCACUUAGCACAAUUUGUACCUCUUAUAUUUAUUGGUGUAAUUUUUACUUUUUACUUUUUUAUUUUUUAAGUGUUAUUUCAUUUUUAAUUGACAAAUCAUUGUCUAUAUUUACGGGGUACCAUGUGAUUUUUCAAUGUGUGUAUAAU